ensembl:snRNA U6 U6 spliceosomal RNA
AUGCUUGCUUCGGUAGCACAUAUACUAAAAUUGGAACUAUACAGAGGAGAUUAGCAUGGCCCCUGCACAAGGAUGACACGCAAAUUCGUGAGGCGUUCCAUUAAAAA